AUGCCUGCGCUCGCUGUCGACGCUGCCGCCCCCGUGGCCCACGCCUUCCCCGCGUGCGGCGACGCCUCGCCGCGCUUCGCGGCCGCGCCACUGCUGGGCCCCGCCGUCGCCGUAGCCGCGGCCGCUGCUGCCGACAAGCCCGAGAUGGCCGCCUGGUCGGCCGACCUCUCGUCGGCGCUCUACAACGUCGACGGCUGGGGCGCGCCCUACUUCUUCGUCAACGACGACGGCGACGUCGCGGUGCGCCCGCACGGCGCCGCCACGCUCCCCGGCCAGGAGAUCGACCUCGCCAAGGUCGUCGCCCGGGCGGCCGGCGCGCGCGCCGGCGGCGGGCUCGGCCUCGCGCUGCCGCUGCUCGUGCGCUUCCCCGACGUGCUGCGCCACCGCGUCGAGACCCUCAACGCCGCCUUCGCCUACGCCGUGCGCUCCACGGGCUACGCCGGGCGGUACCAGGGCGUCUACCCCGUCAAGUGCAACCAGGACCGGUACGUGGUCGAGGACAUCGUCGAGUUCGGCGCGCCCUUCGGGUUCGGCCUCGAGGCCGGCUCCAAGCCCGAGCUGCUGCUCACCAUGAGCUGCCUCGUCGCCCGCGGCAGCCCCGACGCCCUGCUCAUCUGCAACGGCUACAAGGACCUCGAGUACGUCUCGCUCGCGCUCAUCGCCCGCACCAUGGGCCUCAACACCGUCAUCGUGCUCGAGCAGGAGGAGGAGCUCGACAUUGUCGUCGAGGCCAGCCGCCGCCUCAACAUCCGCCCGGUGGUCGGCAUGCGCGCCAAGCUGCGCACCAAGCACGCCGGCCACUUCGGCGCCACCUCCGGCGAGAAGGGCAAGUUCGGCCUCAACGCCGCGCAGAUUCUCUCCGUGGUGGCCAAGCUCAAGGCCCUCGCCAUGCUCGACUGCCUCCAGCUCCUGCACUUCCACAUUGGCUCCCAGAUCCCCACCACCGCCCUGCUCGCCGACGGCGUUGGCGAGGCCGCGCAGAUCUACUGCGAGCUCGCCCGCCUCGGCGCGGCCAUGCGCGUCAUUGACGUCGGCGGCGGCCUCGGCAUCGACUACGACGGGACGCACUCGGCGCAGACCGACAUGUCGGUGGCCUACAGCCUGGAGGAGUACGCGGCGGCCGUGGUCGCCGCCGUCGGCCGCGUCUGCGACCGCAAGGGCGUGCAGCACCCUGUCAUCUGCAGCGAGAGCGGCCGCGCGCUGGUGUCGCACCACUCGGUCCUCAUCUUCGAGGCCUUCUCCGCGACGGCGCCGGCUUCCAACAUGAUGGACCCGGCCACCGCCUACCUGCUCGACGAGCUCACCGACGACUGCCGCAGCGACUACCGCAACCUCAUGGCCUCCGCCGUGCGCGGCGACUUCGACACCUGCGGCCUGUACGCCGACCAGCUGAAGCGGCGCUGCGCCGAGCAGUUCAAGGAGGGGGUCCUCGGGCUGGAGCACCUCGCCGCCGUGGACGGGCUCUGCGAGAUCGUCGCCCGCGGCAUGGGCGCGGCGGAGGGGCCGCGCAGGUACCACAUCAACCUGUCGGUGUUCACCUCGCUGCCGGACAUGUGGGCCAUCGAGCAGCUCUUCCCCAUCAUCCCCAUCCAGCGCCUCCAGGAGCGGCCCGCCGUGGACGGCGUGCUCUCGGACCUGACCUGCGACAGCGACGGCAAGGUGGACCAGUUCAUCGGCGGCAGGAGCAGCCUCCCCCUGCACGAGCUCCCGACCCACGGCACCCGCGGCUACUACCUGGGCAUGUUCCUGGGCGGCGCCUACCAGGAGGCGCUGGGCGGCCUGCACAACCUGUUCGGCGGGCCGAGCGUGGUGCGCGUCUCCCAGAGCGACGGGCCACACUGCUUCGCCGUGACGCGCGCCGCGCCAGGCCCGUCGUGCGCCGACGUGCUCCGCGCCAUGCAGCACGAGCCGGAGGUGAUGUUCGAGGUGCUCAAGCAGAGGACCACCGACGACGGCGCCACCGCCGCGGCGCUCGCCAGGGCGUUCGGGUCAAUGCCGUACCUGUCGUUCGACGCCGAGGAGGCCUCGGCCAUGAGCGGCGCGGAGUCGAGCGGCAUGAGCAGCGACUCGGAGGGGUCGGCUGCCGGCGCCGCCGAGGAUGAUGACGAGGAGUGGGAGUUCAUGCGCGGGCUCACCGUGUGA
rnacentral:rRNA from 1 species